rnacentral:SRP_RNA from 2 species
GUCAGGUUCAGUGGUAUGCACCCCGUGGUCCCAGCUACUCAGGAGGCUAAGGCAAGAGGAUCGCUUGAGCCCAGGAGUUCUGGGCUGCAGUGUGCUAUACCGAUUAGGUGUCUGCACUAAAUUCGGUAUCAAUAUGAUGACCUCCCGAGAUCAAGGGGCUGGGGUAAGCACCAGGUUGCCUAAGAAUGGUGAACUGGUCCAGGUCAGAAAUGGGCCAGGUCAAAACUCUCAUGCUUAUUAGUAGUGGGAUAGUGCCUGUAAAUAUCUACUCCACUUAAGGCUGGGUAACAAAGUGAGACCUCAGCUCUU